CACCAAAAAAAAAAAAAAAAAACUUUUUCGGUAAACACUAUUUCUCAUGCCUUUUGUUUUAUGAAUAAUAGUUGUAUCUCAAGCUAAAGUUGUUCUCCAUAGGAAGAGUUUUGAUUGAGAAACCCGAAAAUUAGAGGAAGACAAGGUCAUGGACAGUCAUAUAGAUGGUCUACUGGAGGGUUUAUUAAGAUAGAUCAGAGCUUUAGGAUGAAGGUUUUAAUUAGAGAAAUUAGAUUUUGGAAACGUGAGAGAAGUCAGGAUUGGAAGUAUAGUUUGAAUUUUCAGCAGAACCAGCAAUCAGAUUUAAGACAAUGAAAUAAUGAAAAAAAUAAUCCAAUUAAUUUACCUUGACUAGGAAAAUAUAUUUAUUUAUUUAUUAAUGGGCUAAACUGAUUAUACAACAAAGAACACAACAUAUGGCCUGCAUGAAGCAGACAUGCAUUCCAGCACAAAGUCUGGAAAUAUAUAAUGAUGACUCUCAGCCCAUCUAUUGUAAACUGCGGUCCUUAGCCACUAAGGCUGUGGCUAAUCUUGAUACACUGCUUUUGGCCAAAGAGUCAGCUAAGUCUCUGGCUAAUCUUGACCUCCAAUGGCAUGAGCAGUUCAACACAGAAUCCGAUGUCCUAACCUCAAGUAAUGAGCCAAUAUUCAUAGGGCCUUGCUCACCAAAUUUAUCCAAUUAAUGGACAAUUGAGAGUUCCCUCCAUCUCAAGCAUUGGGAAUUAAUUACCCUCGCAGUAUUGAGUCCUCCAGUGAUGGGGAGUACCUCACUCAA